rnacentral:rRNA from 1 species
GACGAACGCUGGCGGCGUGCCUAACACAUGCAAGUCGAACGGAAAGGCCCUGCUUUUGUGGGGUGCUCGAGUGGCGAACGCGUGAGUAACACGCGAGUAACCUGUCCUUGACUUUCGGAUAACUUUAGGAAACUGGGGCUCAUAUCCGAUAGGAGCUCUUGCUGCACGGUGGGGGUUGGAAAGUUUCGGCGGUUGGGGAUGGACUCGCGGCUUAUCAGCUUGUUGGUGGGGUAGUGGCUUACCAAGGCUUUGACGGGUAGCCGGCCUGAGAGGGUGACCGGCCACAUUGGGACUGAGGGACGGCCCAGACUCCAACGUGAGGCAGCAGUGGGAAAUAUUGCACAAUGGGCCGAAGCCUGAUGCAGCGACGCCGCGUGCGGGAUGACGGCCUUCGGGUUGUAAACCGCUUUCGCCUGUGACGAAGCGUGAGUGACGGUAAUUAGUAAGAAAGCACCGGCUAACUACGUG